rnacentral:rRNA from 1 species
CCUACGGGUGGCUGCAGUGAGGAAUAUUGGGCAAUGGGGGCAACCCUGACCCAGCCAUGCCGCGUGAGUGAUGAAGGUCUUCGGAUUGUAAAGCUCUUUCGGACGUGACGUUGAUGACGGUAGCGUCUAAAGAAGCACUGGCAAACUUCGUGCCAGCAGCCGCGGGAAUACGCAGGGUGCGAGCGUUGUUCGGAAGUACUGGGCGUUAAGGGAGUGUAGGCGGAUAUGUAAGAUAGCGGUGAAAUGCCGGGGCUCAACCCCGGAACUGCAAUUAUGACUAUGUAUCUAGAGUAAUGGAGAGGAUAGCGGAAUACGUGGUGUAGAGGUGAAAUUCGUAGAUAUUGGGUAGAACACCGGUGGCGAAGGCAGCUAUCUGGCCAUUUACUGACGCUGAGGCUCGAAAGCAUGGGGAUCAAACAGGAUUAGAUACCCCGGUAGUC